rnacentral:rRNA from 1 species
UGGGGAAUAUUGCGCAAUGGGGGAAACCCUGACGCAGCAACGCCGCGUGCGGGAUGAAGGCCUUCGGGUUGUAAACCGCUUUCAGCAGGGAAGAUAAUGACGGUACCUGCAGAAGAAGCCCCGGCUAACUACGUGCCAGCAGCCGCGGUAAUACGUAGGGGGCAAGCGUUAUCCGGAUUCAUUGGGCGUAAAGCGCGCGCAGGCGGACCGUUAAGCGGGACCUCUAAUCCUAAGGCUCAACCUUAGACCGGGUCCCGAACUGGCGUAGUCUCGAGUGCGGUAGGGGAGAUCGGAAUUCCCGGUGUAGCGGUGGAAUGCGCAGAUAUCGGGAAGAACACCGAUGGCGAAGGCAGAUCUCUGGGCCGUCACUGACGCUGAGGCGCGAAAGCUAGGGGAGCGAACAGGAUUAGAUACCC